UACAUAGUUUAGAAACUGAUAAUAUAAUAUACGAUCUUAUAAAUUCAUUUUCUGGAUAAACGUAGAUUUAUUACAAUUACGCAAUCUCUUUGUUAAUAUCUUUUUUGUUUGUUUGCUUUGUUUUUUUUCUUUCUUUUUUUUUUUUUAGAUCGAUCAAAGUCAACCGAUCGAUUCUGUAGAUCAUCGCUCGGCAAAUAUUACGAACGAGUCUGACAGUCCUGCAUUGCGUUCCUUCUUGAAGAAUAUCUUGAAAGCUCGAGACGAAUUGAAGUGGAUAGAUCGGGCUGCGAAUCGUUUAAAUGAUCCAAAUCGUUUGUACGGAACGAAUAAAGAUGUCGACGAGAGAAAAGAAUCAAUGAAAGAUCAAUGGCCUUCGAAUGAUCUUCGUUUUACUUUGAACGAUCGCUUGAAUUCUAAUAAGUAUAAUCAAUACGAAAGGGAUAACGAAGAGAAUCGAUGGACUCGUAAUUAUGGAGUUCCACGUACGAACAACGACGAUUCAGAUGUCAAGAUGAUCUAUAACCAAGACAAAAGAGAAUCCACGGACACCGAUGCAUC